rnacentral:tRNA from 1 species
GGAUAAGUGGCGGAAUUGGUAAACGCUAGCCCAUUAGAGGGGCGAGAUUCACAUCUUGCAGGUUCGAAUCCUGUCUUAUUCA